GACGAACGCUGGCGGCGUGCCUAACACAUGCAAGUCAAGGGGAAAAUUUCCUUCGGGAGAUGAGUAUACUGGCGAACGGGUGAGUAACGCGUAGGCAACCUGCCCUUGCGAGAGGGAUAGCCCACCGAAAGGCGGAUUAAUACCUCAUAAUGCAGCGGAUCCGCAUGGAUAUGUUGUUAAAGUAUGCCGCAAGGCAUGCGCGUAAGGAUGGGCCUGCGUUCCAUUAGUUAGUUGGUGAGGUAACGGCUCACCAAGGCGACGAUGGAUAGCUGGUUUGAGAGAGUGAUCAGCCACACUGGGACUGAGAUACGGCCCAGACUCCUACGGGUGGCAG
rnacentral:rRNA from 1 species